GUGAGCGCAUGCGUGUUAGGGGAGAGGUGGAGCUAUGUCGUCAUCGUUUCAGAAGAAUCUCGUGUAAACACAGAAACGUGUGGUCGUGGUUUGUCCGUGAUAUCAAGGGAGCCGGGUUCAGAUGUUCUGGUUCCGAACGGCCGCGUCGUGUGGACGAGGCCUCAGUGAGCGGAUGUUCCGAAGCCAGAUGAUACAGGUCUGCGCUCGGAGGCCGGUUUGGUCCGAAUGACUACCCGUAGACCACGUGACUGUUGUUGUCACACGCCGCGCCGCUGCUGCACGCGCAUGCUGGACGCUCCGAAGCUAACGGACAAUAACACGCGCUGUGGACGGACCUGGAGCCUCGCGGGACACAGUCCACUGUGGGAGACAUGUGCUUCUCCACGGGGGACUCGGCGCUGACGCUGGCGGUGCCGCCUGUAGAAGCAGAAGCUACCGGGAGCUAGCAUUAGCGGCUAUGCGGCUAACUGGAUCCGCCGGGUCCACAAACACCCGCCCGCUAAGGAACGGGUCCACGGCGUGAUACGGAGCAGAGCGUGUUGUGUUCGUGCUGGACUCCACAGAACCAGGUUGUGGGAGUGUGGAGAAAACGGCAGGAGACGCGCCGGGGGUCGGUCCAGAGGACCAGCUUUCCAGCCGGGCUCGCGGAACAGCAGGAGACACGAGGAGGCGAGAAGAGGACACGAUGAGCCCGGCGGGGCUCAGGAGGACCUCUGACAUCAGGAGGCAGCAGCGGUGGCUGAAGAAAAGCAGAAGGCAGUGCACAGAUGUGACAGAAGGGGCGUCACAGUGGGGAUGUCCAGAGAGCACAGCGGAUGGAUCCGAGGUCACGCCCGUUGAGGAGGAGAGGAGGGGCCAGGAGGAGCACGGCAGAGGUCAGGAGGAGGUGCUGACACGGGAAGGUGAAAGCAUAGAGGAGCAGAUGAAGCCAGGCUACUUGUGUGUAUGUGUAGAGUCUGGGUCAGAGUGUGUGUGUGUGUGUGUGUGUGCGUGUGUGCUGUGCUGUGUUGUGCUGUGCUGUCUGCAUGUGUCACUUGAGCGUGUGCUGGUUAGGAAGUGUGUUUGUUAAGCUGGAUCCAUACUCCGCGAGACAAAGACAUUUUUCCCCCCUGCAGACGUUACGCCCACAAAAUGACUUCAUUUUUUGUCUCUGACCGCCCGCUGAUCCGCACUCCUGUGCACAGGGUCUGGGCCGAACUUUGUCUUUCAAGGCUGUGCGGCAACCAUGCUGUGAUUGGUCGGAAUUUAUUGUGGGCGUGAUGAAGUGGAGAAGCGCAAGAGCCUCUCCAGGUAUAUAGGUAGGUGUAUAAACAGCGCUGAUACAACAGAUUUAGAUAAGACCAUACUGGUUUUGCAUGAUGAGCAAUAAAAGAAAGAAAGAAAGGCA
rnacentral:lncRNA from 1 species